rnacentral:rRNA from 1 species
UGCAGUCGAGCGGGGACUUCGGUCCUAGCGGCGAACGGGUGAGUAAUACUUGGGAAUCUGCCUCGUAGCGGGGGAUAACGUUUCGAAAGGAACGCUAAUACCGCAUACGUCCUACGGGAGAAAGGGGGGGAUCUUCGGACCUCUCACUAUGAGAUGAGCCCAAGUCGGAUUAGCUAGUUGGUGAGGUAAAGGCCCACCAAGGCUACGAUCCGUAACUGGUCUGAGAGGAUGAUCAGUCACACUGGAACUGAGACACGGUCCAGACUCCUACGGGAGGCAGCAGUGGGGAAUAUUGGACAAUGGGCGAAAGCCUGAUCCAGCCAUGCCGCGUGUGUGAAGAAGGCCUUCGGGUUGUAAAGCACUUUAAGCGAGGAGGAAGGGUAUCAACUUAAUACGUUGGUAUUUUGACGUUACUCGCAGAAUAAGCACCGGCUAACUCUGUGCCAGCAGCCGCGGUAAUACAGAGGGUGCAAGCGUUAAUCGGAAUUACCGGGCGUAAAGCGCGCGUAGGCGGUUGUGUAAGUUGGAUGUGAAAUCCCCGGGCUUAACCUGGGAAUGGCAUUCAAAACUGCACGGCUAGAGUAUGGGAGAGGAAGGUAGAAUUCCAGGUGUAGCGGUGAAAUGCGUAGAUAUCUGGAGGAAUACCGAUGGCGAAGGCAGCCUUCUGGCCUAAUACUGACGCUGAGGUGCGAAAGCAUGGGGAGCAAACAGGAUUAGAUACCCUGGUAGUCCAUGCCGUAAACGAUGUCUACUANCCGUUGGGGGGACUUGAUCCUUUAGUGGCGCAGCUNACGCAUUAANUANACCGCCUGGGGAGUACGGUCNCAAGACUAAAAACUCNAAUGAAUUGACNGGGGNCCCGCNCAAGCGGUGGAGCAUGUGGUUUAAUUCGAUGCAACGCGAANANCUUANCNGGNCCNUGNNNUGUCUG